ensembl:lincRNA
CCGCUGCAUGCUUGAUCCCCAGGGAGCGCUAUUCGUUUGUUUAACGGAGCGCCACGCUGGGCGGCCCGGCGACCAGAACUAGGCAGAAUCCUCGGGGAGAUGCAAUCGAGUGAGUCCGUUCUCUUGCUGGGACCUCCAACCCGCAGCGCCAAGCGUCGAGGAUGCCGGACGGACUCAAGAUCCUAACUCUAACCUUGAGGGACUGAGCGACUGCUCGCCCCAAAGUGUUCGCGCUCCUUCCUGGAAGGGCCACGCCACGCAGGUCUUCACUUCAUCCCCCGAGGGGUUCGAGGCGACGCCCUAGGGGACCCUCGGGAAGCGUCAGGCCAGCGGGUUUCCCUCAUCCCUCGCUGUUGGGUGUCUGUGGAACAAACGCGUUUUCAGGACGGCGAUGGCUAUUCUUCGUUGUCAACUUGACUAUAUCUGGAAUCAACUACAACCCAGAAAUGGAGAAGAGCAUACCUGUGAGAGAUUGUCUGCAUAAAGUAGAUGAAUCCACUUCUAAUCCAGACCUUUGAGGUAGGAAGAUACACAUCUUUAAUCUUGAUCUUGAGGUGGGAAGACACAAGUCUUUAAUCCAAAUCUUGAGAAAUGUCUUUUGUGAACAUAUGAGCCAUACCUUCAGCUGGACAUCUAUAUAAGGACAUAGAAGAAGGAAGCUUUUGCUCUUUGUCCACUUGCCCUUGCCUUGCUAGCACAUCCAUUCCUUCACUGGCAUUAGAGCCUACUUCUGGAUUGCAGCAUAUACUAAAGACCAGCUGAGACAUGCAGCCUUGUGUGACUGAGCAACCACUAGAUUUUUAGACUUUCUAUUGUUGGAUUAGUUGGACUACAGAGGAAGGAGAGAGAGAUUCAUUCCAUAAGUUCUGUGACACUAGAGAACCCUGAUUAAUACAGAUUUUGGUACCAGAAGUGAUUCUAGAGAAGCAGAAGUAUAAGGAUGAAUCUUUUAAGUAUCUGGAAUAGGCAUUUCAAUUCGACAGCACCUUCAGCUACGGAAGCCUCUCCAACCACCCCCUCUCCUGGGAGCUUGGAGAGUACUGAAGGCCCAUGGUAUGAACUGUAUUACAAACUUAAAGAAAUAAAUGAAUUUGAUUAUCCUGACUCACCAAUUGUGAGCAACAAUGGAUUAGGUGACCCUGUAUAUGAAACUUUUGACAGUUUGGGGGAAAAUAAGGAAAAUGAUGAUGCUGGUUGGUUGCUUCUAGCAUCUCUGGAUAAACUGAUAAAGGAUAGGAAUGAACUCCGGGAUAAAAUUAACCAACUACAGAAUAUGGUGAAGGACAACAAAGAACUCAAUGAUAAAAUUGACCAUCUUCAGAUGCUCAUAAACAAUCUAAAGAUUUCUAAGUGUGCCCUGGAAAAGAACCUUCUCUCCAGCAGCCACAAAGCUCAAUUUAUGGAAAAUCAAACUGAAGCUCUCAUUAUAAGGUUAGCUGAGUUACAGGGAAAAUUCAAGUCCCAGCCUCGGAGAGUGUCAACAGAACCUGUUCAUAAGGACUACCAGAUGCAAUUCCCUUUCAUAUGACAAGGCCAGCAGUAUACCUUUACAGUUUUACCUCAAGGAUAUAUAGACUCUCCUGCUCUGUGUCAUAACUUAGUUAGAAAGAAACUUGAUUGUCUGACUCUUUUACAAAAUAUCAUAUUGAUGCACUAUAGUGACAAUAUUAUGCUGACUGGACCAAGUGAACAGGAGGUAGCAAUUCAUUGGUAACACAGAUAUGAAUCAGAAGAUAGGAAAUAAAUCCAACCAAAAUUCAAGGACUGUCUACAUCAGUGAAAUCCUUAGGAGUCCAGUGGUGUGGGGAAUGCAGAGAGAUAUUCCUUAUAAGGUGAAGAAUAAAUAAUUGCAGUUGACCCCACCCCCCCACCAAGAAAGAAGCAUAACGUUUAGUGGGCCUAUUUGGCUUCUGGAAGUAUUACAAUUCUCACAUGGGUUUGUUACUCCGGGCUCUAUACUAAGUGACUUGCAUCUAUACUAAGUGACUUGGAAAGCUGUUAGUUUUGUGUGGGGCCUGGGACAGGAGAAGGCUCAACAGAUCCAGGCUACCGUGCAGGCUGUUCUACCACUUGGAUGACAUGAUCCAGCAGACUCAUUGGUACUUGAGGUGUCAGUGACAGACGGGAGUGCUGUUUGGAGCUUUGGCAUACCAUAGGUGAAUCACAGAAGAGACCUUUGGGAUUUUGGAACAAGGCUCUACUGUCAUCUGCAAACAACUAUUCUCCCUUUAGAAGACGGCUCUUGACCUGCUAUUGGGCCUCUGUGGUAACUGAACAUUUGACAAUAAGCCAAGUUACCAUGUGACCCGAGCUGCCCAUCAUGAGCUAAGUAUUAUUGGACCCGCCAAAUCAUAAAGUCGGACAUGCACAGCAGCAAUCCAUUAUCAAAUGGAAGUGGUAUACAGCUGGAGACAAGGCUCAGCAGUUAAGAGCACUGGCUGCUCUUCCAGAGGUCCAGAGUUCAAUUCCCAGCAACCACAUGGUGGCUCACAACCAUCUGCAAUGGGAUCUGAUGCCCAUUUCUAGUGUGUCUGAAGAUAGCUACAGUAUACUCGUAUACAUAAAAUAAAUCUUUUUUUAAAAAUGGAAGUGGUAUAUACAUGAUUGGACCUGACCAGGUCCUGAUGGCACAAGUGAGUCACGUGAAGAAGUUUCACAAAUGCCUAUGAUUUCUGUUCUUGUUACAGUGCCGUCUUACUGCCAAGCAUGCAUUUAUAGCCUCAUGGGGUGUUCCCUACAAUCAGCGUACUGAGGAGGAGACAACUAGGGCCUGGUUUACUGAUGGUUGUGCACUUUAUACAGUCACCACCCAGAAGUAGACAGUUGCAGCAUUACAAACCCAUUUUGGGACAACUCUAAAAGAUGCUGACAAAAGGAAAUCUUCACCGUGGGCAGAACUUGGCCAAAAUUGGUGAGAAAAACAUCUGAAGAAGACGUAUGUAGAUGUGCAAAGGAUGUGAAGAUAUUUGUGUCCCAUGUAAAUGCUCAUCAAAAGGUGACUUCAACUAAGGAGUUCAUUAAUCAGGUAGAUAGGAUGACCUAUUCUGGGAACAGUCGGCCUCUUUCCCUAGCCAUUCCUGUCAUUGCCCAAUGUCCACAUGAACAAAAUGGCCAUGGUGGCAUAGAUGGGGGUUAUGCGUGGGCUCAAUGAUACAGACUUCACUCAUCAAGACUGACCUGGCUACAACUGUUCUGAGUGCCAAAUCUGCCAACAUCAGAGACCAACAUUGAAACAUAUGACACUAUUACCUGGGGUGAUCAUCCAGCAACCUGGUGGGAGGCUGACCACAUUGAACCAUUUCCUCCACGGAAAGGACUAUGCUUUAUCUUUACUGGAGUAGAUAUUCUGGUUGCAGAUUGGCAUUUCUUGCACAUAAUGCUUCUGCCAAAACCACAACUUAUGAACUUACAGAAUGCCUUAUCCAUUAUCAUAGUAUUCCACAAAGUAUUGUUUCUAACCAAGGUACUCACUUCACAGCCAGAGAGAAGUGUGACAGUGGACCCAUAUCAUGGAAUCCACUGGUCUUACCAUGUUCCCCACCAUCCUGAAGCAGCUGGCCAGAUAGACAUAGGGAAUGGCCUUUUAAAGACAGUUACAGUGCCAGUUAGGUAGCAGCAGCCUAGAGAGCUGAGGUGGGCUUCUUCAGAAGACAGUAUAUACUUUGAGUCAGCAUCCAGUGUAAGGUACAAUUUCUCCCAUAGCUACAAUCCAUGGGUCCAGGAAUCAAGGGCUGGAAAAGGGAACAUUUCCACACACCAUCACCCCUAAUGACCCCUAGUGGAAAAAUGCUUUCUAUUCUGCAACCCUAAGUUCUUUGGUUCCAGAGGGAGAAGUCUCCUGCCAAGAGCUACAACAACGACAAAAAAAUCCAUUGAACUAGAAGUUCAGACUUAACCCCUUAACUUAGGGCUUCUAAUGCCCUUAAACCUACAGGUUAAGAAAGGAAUUGCAGUGUUAGGAGGAGUAAUUGAUCCAGAUUACCAUGGGGAAAUUGGAUUGCUUCUCCACACAGCGGUACAAAAAGAUUAUGUCUGGAAUGCAGGAGAUUAUUUAGGGUGUCUCUAAGUACUAUUACAACAUGCAAUUAAAGUCAGUGGGAAACUACAACAACCUAAUCCAGGCAAGAUGACAAAGUGCAUAGACCCUUCAGGAAUGAAGGUAUGGGUUACUUCUCCAGGAAAAGAGCCAAGACCUGCUGAGGUACUUGCUGAAGGUGGACAAAAUACUUAAUAGGUAGUAGAGGAUGGUAGUUAUAAAUACCAUCUGAGGUGAUGUGACCAGUUGCAAGCCGGGUAUGGUGGCGCAAGCCUUUAAUCCCAGCACUCGGGAGGCAGAGGCAGGCGGAUUUCUGAGUUUGAGGCCAGCCUGGUCUACAAAGUGAGCUCCAGGACAGCCAGGGCUAUACAGAGAAACCCUGUCUCGAAAAACCAAAUAGAGAAUAACAAUAAUUGUCAUCAAUUUAAGUUUUAAGAUACUAAAAGGACAUUGCCGCCUAUUCUAAAUUUAUAAUUUGUAGCUGUACCAGGGUUGUAUGAGUUAUAUCGUGUUAGGUGUAAUUAUGACCUGUUAAAUAUAUAAUGCAUCUGUAAUUUUACAUGGGAUGGUUAUAUUAUGUUUAGGCAUUAUCAUGACCUGAUAAUUGUUUUCAUUUGGAAAUUAUGACAUAAGAAGCUAUGAUUGUGUGUCAAGUGGAAAAGAGGUGGACUUGUGAUGGCUAUUCUUGGUUGUCAACUCGACUAUAUCUGGAAUAAACUACAGUCUAAGAAUGGAGACCAC